UACGAAGGAUGCAAGCGUUAUCCGGAAUCACUGGGCGUAAAGCGCGUGUAGGCGGCCUGCGAAGUCUGAUGUGAAAGCCCGGGGCUCACCCCCGGAAGUGCAUUGGAAACUGGCAGGCUCGAGUCCCGGAGAGGAGGGUGGAAUUCCUGGUGUAGCGGUGAAAUGCGUAGAUAUCAGGAGGAACACCGGUGGCGAAGGCGGCCCUCUGGACGGUGACUGACGCUGAGACGCGAAAGCGUGGGGAGCAAACAGG
rnacentral:rRNA from 1 species